rnacentral:rRNA from 1 species
GAUGAACGCUGGCGGCGUGCCUAAUACAUGCAAGUCGAGCGAACAGACGAGGAUCUUGCUCCUCUGACGUUAGCGGCGGACGGGUGAGUAACACGUGGAUAACCUACCUAUAAGACUGGGAUAACUUCGGGAAACCGGAGCUAAUACCGGGUAAUAUAUUGAACCGCAUGGUUCAAUAGUGAAAGACGGUUUUGCUGUCACUUAUAGAUGGAUCCGCGCCGCAUUAGCUAGUUGGUAAGGUAACGGCUUACCAAGGCAACGAUGCGUAGCCGACCUGAGAGGGUGAUCGGCCACACUGGAACGGAGACACGGUCCAGACUCCUACGGGAGGCAGCAGUAGGGAAUCUUCCGCAAUGGGCGAAAGCCUGACGGAGCAACGCCGCGUGAGGGAUGAAGGUCUUCGGAUCGUAAAACUCUGUUAUUAGGGAAGAACAAAUGUGUAAGUAACUAUGCACGUCUUGACGGUACCUAAUCAGAAAGCCACGGCUAACUACGUG